rnacentral:rRNA from 1 species
AGUGAACGCUGGCGGUAGGCCUAACACAUGCAAGUCGAACGGCAGCACAGGAGAGCUUGCUCUCUGGGUGGCGAGUGGCGGACGGGUGAGGAAUACAUCGGAAUCUACCUUUUUCGUGGGGGAUAACGUAGGGAAACUUACGCUAAUACCGCAUACGACCUACGGGUGAAAGUGGGGGACCGCAAGGCCUCACGCGAUUAGAUGAGCCGAUGUCCGAUUAGCUAGUUGGCGGGGUAAUGGCCCACCAAGGCGACGAUCGGUAGCUGGUCUGAGAGGAUGAUCAGCCACACUGGAACUGAGACACGGUCCAGACUCCUACGGGAGGCAGCAGUGGGGAAUAUUGGACAAUGGGCGCAAGCCUGAUCCAGCCAUACCGCGUGGGUGAAGAAGGCCUCGGUUGUAAG